UGAUACUGUCUGGAACACAUUGAGCAUUGGAAUGACUUGCCCCCUCCUUCCCACUGCAGGGAAUAGUCAAAUGAGGGUGAACCACAAAGUGAUAGUAUUUCCCCCAAGAGAAAGCAUUUUCUUGGCUCAACAGACUUGCUAUGAGGACUGGGCUAUAGGGAGUUUGGAAUAUAAUUGUGUGAACCCUUUCCUGUGGAGAGACCACUGUUUCUCAGAACCACUGUUUUUCUACUAAGGAGAAAGGCCCUAACAUGGCGUUGGUCUUCAGCUUGUCCACUCUCAUAUUUGUCCUCAUCACUGGGAUGGAGACAUCCAAAAGUCUAAGUCAGUGCUCAGAGUUGAAGGUAAUCCAGGUGGAAUCUGGGAAGGAUGCAGUCCUAGAGUGCUCUGUGAAGUUCAGUGCGGAAUCCCCUGGUAAUGUAAACAUAGAGCGGGUCCAGUUGUGGAGGCGGCACCAGAAUAGUAGUCACAAAGGUGAACCUGUGUUCAAAUACACUCAACAAUCCUCCAAUCCCAGGAUGCCGCAGAGCCAAAAAUAUCAGCAUUCCAUGCCACCUGCCAAUGAGAAAGACAAAGUUGUGUCCCUGUUGGUCAAAGAAACCCAGCCUGAAGACGAGGGUACAUAUGAGUGUGUAGUGAACACUGACAGUGGAAACACAAAUUGUAAAUUCAUGCUGGAGGUCACAGUACGAGACCAGGUUCCUGAAAAUCCUGCGAAUCGAAAGGAAAUUCCAAAGAACAGUUACAUGAGUGUGGCUGCUGUAUUUGUGGUAGUAGGCUCUCUUGCCAUUGGACUGCCGCUUCUCAAGCUGUUUCAAGCCAGAAGACUCAGACAACAUGAGUCCUUGAUACCAGAGGACUCUGUUGUGCCAGAAGCUCCACCAACCACCAGCAUGCCCAGCACAAGAACAUUCCAGGCAUUCCCGUGGUUGGCAGGCUAUAUCACAUCCGGCCGUGAUUGGGAGUCCCAUAGGGCGGCGCACAAUUGGCCCAGUGUCGUCCGGGUUUGGCCGGUGUAGGCCGUCAUUAUAUCCAGAGUAGAUGUGGUGGAUUGUUCCAUAAUGACCAUCACCGAGGCCAACCCUCAGAGCCAGACUGGCAGCCGGCUGGGGGCUGAGCCUGAGACCCCUGCUGUAGCGCUUCAGAACAGUGGAGGAUGGCUCAGCUGGAUCUUCAGGAGAGGAAAGGAGAUUCAUCUAUCUGAUGAGAAAGACAACUCUGUAUGGAACCUGUUUAAAUAUUCUAUGGAGACACAAAACUGACCCCCAGGCUGAGAACAAGCCUGUACCGCCUCCUCCCCCGAUGGGAAUGUAUCUGGGGAACUCUGGUCUUCCCAAAGGGGUGAAUCCUUACUUCAGGAAAGCAGUCUAACAGCAGGUCUAUGGGAAAAAUAUCCCAGGAUGCUCUACUCUGAUGGGACCACCUCAACACCACCUAGCCAGCUCCCUUGACAGUUCCCCGCCCAACACUCCACCCUCAUGGCACAGAUGACAGAAACUUGCCCCUGGAACUCUACCCUACUUUG